rnacentral:misc_RNA from 1 species
UCCGGCUUAGCACCGGCAGUCCUGUUAGAGUUCCCAACUAAAUGAUGGCAACUAACAGCAAGGGUUGCGCUCGUUGCGGGACUUAACCCAACAUUUCACGACACGAGCUGACGACGGCCAUGCAGCACCUGUGUAUCGGCUCCCUUUCGGGCACCCCCACAUCUCUGCAGGGUUCCGACCAUGUCAAGGGUAGGUAAGGUUGUUCGCGUUGCAUCGAAUUAAUCCACAUCAUCCACCGCUUGUGCGGGUCCCCGUCAAUUCCUUUGAGUUUUAACCUUGCGGCCGUACUCCCCAGGCGGUCAACUUCACGCGUUAGCUACGGUACUGAGAAAUCGCUUCCCCAACACCCAGUUGACAUCGUUUAGGGCGUGGACUAC